rnacentral:lncRNA from 1 species
UUCCCAAUGGCUUCAUUUGGCAGCGUGUUUUUGCCUUCUUGGCUGGUGACAAAAGUAUCAUGCAAAGUAUUUGCUACCAGUAGGACUGGUAGGUGGUGACCCUUAUUGUAUAAUGAGAAAAAUCUCUACAAAAGCAUGUUUUUAUUCCCUUUACAUCUUUUAUUUUUUUUUAAAGUAGCAUAGGCUAAACAUUGGUGUAAUCCUAAAAUAAUAAGAUGCUUUUGUUAGAUGAUCAACUGAAAUAGCUGGAAUACAUUACUUAGAAAUGGAUAGUUGUAAGAUACAAGUGUAACCCAUCCCUUCUUCCAUUUUCUCACCCCUUCUGCUUUACCCCUCUCUGAGAUACCCGUUGUCUCCCUCCUGAUGGCAUCCAUCCCCCAAAGGCUUUUCUUUCCUUUCCCUUCCGUUAGAAUUUGGUUGCAUUCAGUGGGUUUUGUAGGCUUUGCACUCUGAGCUUGCCAUUUUCACAUUUUUCCCGUUCCUGCGCUCCGACUGCCCGGGUGUUUUUCUCAGAGGUGCCGGCAGGACCAUCGGAGUGUUUGAGUACCAGAAGUGCCCGUUUUGGGUGGCAGGAGAUUGUUUAGCAAUGCAGUCAUCCUCUCUCUUAGAUCCAAAACUACCUCUGCAUUGUGACUGUCCCAUAACACAAGAACCACAGCCCCUUCGGAGUGCAAGCUCACAAUCCCCUCAGUGUUGGCCACGGGCUCCCUCGGCCAUUCGCCAAAAGGACCAGAGGAAGCAGAUCUUAAGGACCCUUUCUCUUUCUCAGUCUUCCUUCUUCCCUGUUUUGCUUGGGCUGUCCCACUGUAAAUGUUGUUUUUACCUAUGUUAAUGAUUUUGUCUUCCAUUUUCAAAGGAAAAAAAUUAAUUUGGUUGUUAAUUCAGUACCACUGUGUUUUGUUUUGUUUUUCUCCUAUAGGCCUGCCUCAUUAUUCAUAGGCUUUUUUUAUACUACAUCUAUCCUUCUUUGCUACAAUCUUAUAAACGCGAGCUCCUCGUACUAGCGAAUACUGCCUCACUCACCGGCUCUCUGUUUCAGUGACCAAGGGCGGAACUCCUUGUGGCCUUAUCUUUCUUUGUUUUAAACUGUUUACUGGCAUUCACUUGCAAACUGUUUACUUGUCUUUGCCCUCCUUAAUUUUUUUUCUCUUGUGGCUACAGUCAUUACACAGUGUUUUUGUUUGAAGCAUGUAAGUAUUUUCAGUACUAUUUUACUUAUAAUUGUCCACGAGUUUCCUUCACAUAAUAGGUUUGAUAUUCAAUUAUGUAAUUAUAUUGGAUUUACUCUGAUGCCAAUUACAACAGAUAAAUGUUACCAGUAUAUGAAACCACAGCUUUUUUCCUUUAAAACAAUACUUUUGAAAUUUGGGGGGAUCUUUUCCAAAUCCAUUUUUUCCCCCUUAGACAAUACAAAACUUUUCAUCUUUUGCCUUGUGUUUAAUUACCCUUUUUGGGUUUGUUUUAAAUGCCUUUUUUUUCCCCCUCAGAGCUUUGUUCAUUAGCAUAUUAUAUACAAUAUUCCUGGACUUUUAAAAUUUCCAAAAAUGUGUUUUUUCCCCACUUGUCUUUCUCAGCCUUUAAAUUAUGUGCUGGGGGAAAUGAGGGAAAAGAAAGAUAGGGAGGAUAUGGGAGUUUGUUGUAGCUUCUCUUUUGUCAACUUUUUUUCUUUAAUAUUUUCUUUAUUUAAAAAAACAAAAAACAAUUCCAUGGACUUCUGGCCCUCGGUUUUCUAUUCUUAUGAAACAUAUAUUCCAUAUCAGUACCCCUUUUAAACAUAACUUUCAGUUACUAAUAGGACUUAAAUGUUAAUUUUUGCUUCUUCCUGUGGUUGUUCUGGAGAGUUGGUCCUUUUUAGGAUAAAGCCUCUGUCACUAGAAUGGCAAAUGCCUUUGACAAACAUAAAUGGUAUAUUCAAAUAUGUAUUUUUCAGCACUAUUCCUUGUUAUAUACUUUUGUGCAGUUUCCCAAAACACACAUAGAAAUUUGAGCCCAUGUUCCCAAAAAGUUGCUAAUGGGUCAAUAGUGAACAUCGAACUUAGCACGUAAACUAAGAAAACCAGAACAAUGCUCGUGAAAGAGCUAUUAUUCCAAACAGUCUCAGAAUUGAACACUAGGAUGAUGUUGUGUUAACGCACCGCUGCUAACGUCUUAAUCCUUGGCCUCUGAAGUCUCAUUAAAUAAGUGAUGAGCUAUUUCACUUUGACUACACAGGAUCAUUUGAGAACCGCGAGUUGUUUUGUUUGUUUGUUUUUUUAAAUGAACCUGGUAUCAUCUGUUCUCACAUAGAGAAUUUCUCAUGUAAGUCUUGACGGAGGAAACCAGCUAACCAUUUAAAACCAAAUAAUGGCAGGAAGAGCGGGGCCCCCGGGGAGAGGUGGUCUUUCAUGAAACAAAAUAUCCAAUUAUUAACUGAGGUAUUUACUUUUUCUUUCAAAAGCAGCUGUUUCUGAUGAGUACUGAACAAAUGUGUGUAAUUUUCUGUACCAGAUUCUUUACUUUGUUUUCAAGCACUGUAAUGUGGGAUUGAGUGGCAGCUUUGUUAGAAAACAGUAAUAUAUUAGGGUUUAUAUUUAACCCUUGCAGGACUGAACUAUUUCUCUCUUCAUUCAUUUCAAUGUUGUAAUAAACAUUUGCCAGCAUUUAGUACUGUCGUGGUCCAGAUGUAAGUUACAUGCUCAUUUUUAGCUUAUUUCUUGUACCUUGCAGCAUGCUAUAUGCAUUCAGUCCUUAAGGGGUUAUAAUCUACAAACUGUGCACCUGUAAGGU